rnacentral:rRNA from 1 species
UGGGGAAUAUUGGACAAUGGGGGAAACCCUGAUCCAGCCAUGCCGCGUGAAUGAUGAAGGCCUUCGGGUUGUAAAGUUCUUUUGGUAGGGACGAUGAUGACGGUACCUACAGAAUAAGCUCCGGCUAACUUCGUGCCAGCAGCCGCGGUAAUACGAAGGGAGCUAGCGUUGUUCGGAAUUACUGGGCGUAAAGGGUGCGUAGGCGGUCUAAUCAGUCAGAUGUGAAAGCCCUGGGCUCAACCUAGGAACUGCGUUUGAUACUGUUAGGCUAGAAUUCGGAAGAGGUGAGUGGAAUUCCCAGUGUAGAGGUGAAAUUCGUAGAUAUUGGGAAGAACACCGGUGGCGAAGGCGGCUCACUGGUCCGACAUUGACGCUGAGGCACGAAAGCGUGGGGAGCAAACAGG